rnacentral:rRNA from 1 species
GACGGAGGAUGCAAGCGUUAUCCGGAAUUAUUGGGCGUAAAGCGUAUGUAGGUGGCUUGUCAAGCCCUUUGUCAAAGCGUGGAGCUUAACUCCAUAACGGCGAGGGAAACUGACAGGCUAGAGUACAGUAGGGGUAGGAGGAAUUCCCGGUGUAGCGGUGAAAUGCGUAGAUAUCGGGAAGAACACAAGUGGCGAAAGCGUCCUACUGGGCUGUAACUGACACUGAGGUACGAAAGCUAGGGGAGCGAAUGGG